UGAUUUUUGAUGCAGCCCCAG
rnacentral:miRNA from 1 species